GGCAUAGCUCAACUGGCAGAGCAGCUGAUUUGUAAUCAGCAGGUUGCAGGUUCGAUUCCUGUUGCC
rnacentral:tRNA from 1 species